UAGGGAAUCUUCGGCAAUGGACGAAAGUCUGACCGAGCAACGCCGCGUGAGUGAAGAAGGUUUUCGGAUCGUAAAACUCUGUUGUUAGAGAAGAACGACGAGGAGAGUGGAAAGCUCCUAGUGUGACGGUAUCUAACCAGAAAGGGACGGCUAACUACGUGCCAG
rnacentral:rRNA from 1 species